GGUGUGAAUUGCAGAAUCCCGUGAACCAUCGAGUCUUUGAACGCAAGUUGCGCCCCAAGCCGUCAGGCCGAGGGCACGCCUGCCUGGGCGUCACGCA
rnacentral:rRNA from 1 species